rnacentral:rRNA from 1 species
CACGUAGGGGGCAAGCGUUGUCCGGAAUUAUUGGGCGUAAAGAGCUCGUAGGCGGCUCGGUAAGUCAGGUGUCAAAUCCUCAGGCUCAACCUGGGGCUCCACCUGAUACUGCUGUGGCUAGAGUCCGGUAGGGGAGCGUGGAAUUCCUGGUGUAGCGGUGAAAUGCGCAGAUAUCAGGAGGAACACCAGCGGCGAAGGCGGCGCUCUGGGCCGGAACUGACGCUGAGGAGCGAAAGCGUGGGGAGCGAACAGG